AAGUGAGGCCCUAUCCUGAAGGAAUCAGUCAAAAAUCUAAACAGUCUUCUUCACAAUAGAGUAACUGUGUCGAAGCAGUCAAAAUCAAAGAAGCCUAAGUCAGGUGGUGCAGAAAUGCAGCAACUGACAAACAGCACACAGCAACCAUACACAAGGAGUUUAGAAGAGGCAUUAAGGAACACUAUACUAUACUAAAGAAUGCUAUAUCCAGUUGAAACUGCAGAGGAAAUUAAGUGAUGGAGGAAUGCUAGUGUCAGAGUGCAGGGCUACCUGAAGUCUAUAACCCUUUCUGCACAGAGGCCAGCGGAUUCUCAAGCGCGGAUACCAUAAUUGGAGUUACUCUCCAAAAUGAAUAUCUAGCAAUAAUUCAAGUUAGUUACGUUAAAGAUGACAGUUUUGUGGAACUGAGACAUUAAAAGGGCUUGCUAUGCCUGGG